rnacentral:rRNA from 1 species
ACUCCUGCGGGAGGCAGCAGUGGGGAAUUUUGGACAAUGGGCGAAAGCCUGAUCCAGCAAUGCCGCGUGAGUGAAGAAGGCCUUCGGGUUGUAAAGCUCUUUUGUCAGGGAAGAAACGGUGAAAGCUAAUAUCUUUUGCUAAUGACGGUACCUGAAGAAUAAGCACCGGCUAACUACGUGCCAGCAGCCGCGGUAAUACGUAGGGUGCAAGCGUUAAUCGGAAUUACUGGGCGUAAAGCGUGCGCAGGCGGUUUUGUAAGUCUGAUGUGAAAUCCCCGGGCUCAACCUGGGAAUUGCAUUGGAGACGGCAAGGCUAGAAUCUGGCAGAGGGGGGUAGAAUUCCACGUGUAGCAGUGAAAUGCGUAGAUAUGUGGAGGAACACCGAUGGCGAAGGCAGCCCCCUGGGUCAAGAUUGACGCUCAUGCACGAAAGCGUGGGGAGCAAACAGGAUUAGAUACCCCAGUAGUCCCAU